rnacentral:rRNA from 1 species
GACGAACGCUGGCGGCGUGCUUAACACAUGCAAGUCGAACGGAAAGGCCCUGCUUUUGUGGGGUGCUCGAGUGGCGAACGGGUGAGUAACACGUGAGUAACCUGCCCUUGACUCUGGGAUAACUUCAGGAAACUGGGGCUAAUACCGGAUAGGAGCUCCUGCUGCAUGGUGGGGGUUGGAGAGUUUCGGCGGUUGGGGAUGGACUCGCGGCUUAUCAGCUUGUUGGUGGGGUAGUGGCUUACCAAGGCUUUGACGGGUAGCCGGCCUGAGAGGGUGACCGGCCACAUUGGGACUGAGAUACGGCCCAGACUCCUACGGGAGGCAGCAGUGGGGAAUAUUGCACAAUGGGCGGAAGCCUGAUGCAGCAACGCCGCGUGCGGGAUGACGGCCUUCGGGUUGUAAACCGCUUUCGCCUGUGACGAAGCGUGAGUGACGGUAAUGGGUAAAGAAGCACCGGCUAACUACGUG